GUAAUAAAUGUUUAUUGUUAAAAGCUGUUAAAUUUCAGGAAAAUUUUUUACAUGUGGAUAAGUAAUACAGAUUUGGUACCAUAACAGAUACCUAAAAAUAUGGGACUGGCUUUAGAGCCAGGAGGUACAUGGAGGCUAAAAAGGUUUAAAUAGCGUGUUAAGAGAAAACCUAAGUUGCCUUGAAUAUAUUCUUAGUAGAAAUCUGGACUUUGGAGAUGCUGCCAGUGAGGGCUCAAAAAAAAGAAGCUGGGGCAUGUUAUUAGAAACUGGAAGAAAGGGAUCUUUAUUAUGGAGGGGCAACACUGUCAUCUGCAGUUAUGUGGAAAGCAGAAAAUAUUCCUAAUAAAGUGGAUGAUCUGGUUAACUAGAUUCCCAAGUAGAAUCUUGAAGGUGCCCCCUGGUUUCUUUUUGCUGCUUAUAGUAAAAUGAAAGAGGAAAAAGAUCAAUAGAGAGAAGGACUUUAAAACACAAAGAAAUCAGAAAUUGAUGGUUUUACAAGUUCUCAGCCACUUCAGAUGGCAAACAAUUCUAAAAUUAAGAAAUGGCUUUCAAGUAAGGAGCAAAUCAAGAGCUCUACCAGGAGAACAUGGUGCAAAGAUAAAGCUGAGGGUGUGACUGUCAGAUUCUUUGUUCAGACCUCAGAAAAGAACAAAGAUGGUGCCUAAUGUAUUAUUCAGUCACACAAAGUCCCUUUAAAGAAAUUAAGGUGCGCCUUACAGAGUCUCUCAAGCAACAGGUCUUCUAAGAAGCUUAUACCCACUGUCCCUCAUCCAUUUCAGCAGAUGCUCAAUGUGGAGAAAGAUUUUUCCCAAACAGACUUACGAGUAUGAACUUUAUCUAGUGGUGUAAACUCCAAUGACAUUCCUAGAAAGCCCAUAAUAUUUUUGAGAGAAUUAUAUCAGCAGAAACACUGCCAGCUUGGACUAAAAGGAACAGAGGCAGUAAAAAAUGAAGAGGUAGUUUGACUCCCAAAAUUUAACUGGUAGGAAGCAGGCUGAGAAAACUGCUCAGCUGAAGGAUGUUACCUUUCAUACCUUUUCAUACAAAAAGGAGGAUGAUUCCCAGGGUGCAACCAGGAGCCCAAAGAGCAGAGCCAAGAGCCAUGGAGAAUUGUUCUCAGGCCUUGAGACAUAUUCAAGGAAUUUCCAACAUUUGCUUGUCCAGAUUUCGGAAUUGCUAUAAACUAGUAAUUCCUUUGUGGCUUCCAUUCCCCCAUGCAUUCCUGAACUGGAAUGUCUAUACUGGUUAAUCUAUGCUUGUCCCAAAACUGUGUAGUGUGUGUACCGGGGGAAAAUAAUUUGCCUCUUUAUUCUUACAUUUCUACAGAUUGAGAGGAACUGUACUCAAGGAGCUGUACUUAUGGAAGUAUUCCUAAGAGGCCUCAGCAAAACCUGGAUCUGACUUAAAUAAUGAGCAUCCCUAGGGAGAGGCCCAUAAAGGAAAGAACUUAAGGAAGCCUCACACUAACAACCAGCAAGGAACUGAGACCCUCUGUGCAACGUCCCUUGAAGAAGUGAAUCCUACCAACAACCAUGAAGUUGUUGAGCAGAGUGCUGAGAAAACGAUCGAUCGAUUGAAUCCACUUGUUGACGCAAACAAGAAAAGGAGGAAGCAGGUGUCAUACUAGCAAACAAAGGCUCUUCUUUGAUGGGAGGAAAAGAAAAUCUCUAAAACGUUAGUCCUCUACAGGGCAUGACUGCUCCAAUGAAUUCUUUUAAAAACAGGGAUCUUGUUAUUAGAAGAAGGAGGAUUGUUAAGGGCCAACGAUCUCUCUGAGACCAGGAACAUCAUGGCUGGAUGGUGUAAGGAAAAGAUCUUCUUACUCCUCUCCCUGGUAGUCAAGUUUUCUGACUGCUGGAGAGUAGAUAUUACCAGAAUGCUGGUCCCAGAGAGUAAAAAGGCCAAAGAGUGCCCCUUCUGGCUGCGUACCCACUUAUAUAACCCCUACACAGAAGUCAAUGGGUGUUCCAGGCAGCAGCAAAACAGAUGUGGCUGCUGGGGUGGGGUGGAAGACGAUGACCAGCAUACAGAUUGCUGUGCUUAUGUUCUGCGUCGACAUCUGAUAUGGCUAUUCUUGUCUGUGUUUACAUGUCCCAUUCAUCUGGUUCAACCAGACAGAGUUUUACUAAUAUUAUUGAUGGUUGCCAUAACAACAAGCAUGUGAAUAUACUUUAGCUAAGAAAUUGUGACAAGUAUUUGGUUGAUCACAGUCCGUAAAUUGCAUAGAGGGAUGAUCUCCAGGGGUGAAGGGGGAUGGAAUAGGACAUCACCAGAUGGACACUUGCUUUGAUCUCAUUGAGGAAAUUUACAUAGUGAUUUCUCCUGAAAAAGUUCCUUUCCAGGGGCUUCCUCUGGAAAUUUGGAGCUGUUUGAUCCUUGGAGAAUAGCCAGUAACUCAACCAAAGACUCUUCUUAGACCAUAAAUAGCAUUCUGAGUUUGCAUCCUCCAUUUCCAUCACUCUCCCUCUCCUGAUCUUCUCAGUCUCUUCAGUAUUCAAGAAACUAAUGGAACAAAGUCAAAUACUAGAAAUUGGGUAAUCUUCCUUUGCUUCUUUUAGCUCUGGCUUCUUAGGUGACAUUCCUUUUGAUCACAGAUACUUCCUAAAAAUAUACUGGAUAUUGUGGAGUUGGGGGAGAAAAAGGGGCAAGAUGGUGGAUAUCAAAGACCUGGAAAACAACCUCUGCCAUUGAUGAAUUUGUGGUCAUGCUUGAGAGGCAGGGUGACUGAAGGGGUUCCUGAGGUGUGGGGCUUUUCGCUUUAUAACCAGGAAAGUCCAAGGCAAACCAGGAUGAGUUAGAGACUCUAUGAAGUGAGUCUGAGAAAUUCACUUCACCUACGUAGACCUCAUUUCUCCCAACUCUAAAAAUGAAUUAAAAAUUUUAUUUCCUUUGCCUUAUUCUCAGUAAACCAUAUACAAAAGAAGAAAACAAUACAUGAAAUCCUUUAAAAAAAAAAAAAGAGUACAGAGAUGCCAGCCAUAUCUGAUCCUAGAGUAUUGGCUUCAGAGAGACAGGGAAUUGGGUCUCCUUGGUGAAACACCUUAACAUCCAAGACCUCAAACACUUAGCUUCUCCCUAUGGUGCACCUGAUCUCUUUGAGACAAUGCAGUACUAUUUAAUAAGCUGACUCCCCAAAGGUGUCUAAGUGAUUCCCAGGAUGUAGGUCACACACUGGAAGAAUCGCAUUCAACCAAUGUUGAACAACCAAGCUUAAAACUCCCAACACACAGCUGCAUGUUUAAGAUGAAUAAGACAUCAUUGGUGAAAUAUUUUUAUUACAAGGGGUUACGACUUAAACACAGCAAAAAAGAUAUUGGAUUGAGGUGUUCCAUUUAAUGUAUUGGUUGAGAAGGGAGUGAGAGAGGGUAAGGGGAAGAGACAGAAGAGUCAUCCUAUGGUGAUUUCAUCCCACCAUUCCUCUUCCAGUGAGAUAAGAGCAGUCAUUGGGCUUAAGAUUAUCCAUUAUUCAUUUUCUCUAAAGAAGUAGGAGUGCUAUGAGAAUUACGGAUUAGUGCAGGGGAGGGGUAUACUCAAAGACUCCUGGUCUCCCAAUUUAGAACACAGUUGGGAGAAGGAAGGAGCAGAGCCUUCCCCUCCAGAACAAUAACAGCGGCAACACUAGCCACCCACCUUGGCUCAGCUCAGCCCAUAGAGAAAAAGAUACUCCACCCAAGCCCUGUCAGAGCUUAUUGGCUUUGUGUGAAUGAGGUUGAGGAGAGAGCUAUGAUGCUUUGAGGCUACACAGAUAAUCCAUCACUUUCCUCUCUGUGCCCAGGAAGGCUUGUGACAUGUGUCCCAAGAAAAAGAUACGAUGAAGUCCAAACCCCUGGUACCUGUGAAUGUGACCUUAUCUGGAAAUAAGAUCUUUUCAGAUACAAUCAAGUUAAGAUGAGAUCACACUGAAUUAGAGUGGGCCCUAAUCUAAUGACUAGGGUCCUUAUAAGAAGAUGAAAUUUGAACACAAAGAGACACAAGAACAACAUAUGAUGACAAACACAGAGAUUAGAGUGAUGCAUCUGCAAGCCCAGGAAUGCCAAGAAUUACUGGCAAUCACCAGAAGCUAAGAGAAAGGCGUGGAACAGGCUCUCCCUCAGACGGAACCUCUCUGAC
ensembl:lncRNA